AUACAGAGGGUGCAAGCGUUAUGCGGAAUUACUGGGCGUAAAGCGCGCGUAGGCGGAUGAUUAAGUCAGUUGUGAAAGCCCUGGGCUCAACCUAGGAACUGCAUCUGAUACUGGUCGUCUAGAGUUUAAGAGAGGGAAGUGGAAUUCCAGGUGUAGCAGUGAAAUGCGUAGAUAUCUGGAGGAACAUCAGUGGCGAAGGCGACUUCCUGGCUUAAAACUGACGCUGAGGUGCGAAAGCGUGGGUAGCGAACGGGAUUAGAAACCCCAGUAGUCC
rnacentral:rRNA from 1 species